rnacentral:rRNA from 1 species
GACGAACGCUGGCGGCGUGCUUAACACAUGCAAGUCGAACGGAAAGGCCUGCUUUCCCUUGUGGAUUGCGGGUACUCGAGUGGCGAACGGGUGAGUAACACGUGAGUGAUCUGCCCCCAACUUGGGUAUAAGCCUGGGAAACUGGGUCUAAUUCCCGAUAGGACUGCAGGGUGGUGCCUGUGGUGGAAAACGAUUUUCUAGUGGUUGGGGAUGAGCUCGCGGCCUAUCAGCUUGUUGGUGGGGUAAUGGCCUACCAAGGCGGCGACGGGUAGCCGGCCUGGGAGGUUGAACGGCCACAUUGGGACUGGAAUACGGCCAGACUCCUACGGGAGGCAGCAGUGGGGAAUAUUGCACAAUGGGCGGAAGCCUGAUGCAGCGACGCCGCGUGGGGGAUGACGGCCUUCGGGUUGUAAACUCCUUUCGACCGCGAGGAAGCCACCUGGUUGGAAGGGUGGUGACGGUAGUGGUAGAAGAAGCACCGGCUAACUACGUG